rnacentral:rRNA from 1 species
CUGGUGACCAGCUGUAGAAAUACGGCCUUCCCGCAAGGGACACCAGUAUAGGCGCUGCAUGGCUGUCGUCAGCUCGUGCCGUGAGGUGUUGGGUUAAGUCCCGCAACGAGCGCAACCCUGCACACUGUUACUACUCGCAAGAGAGGGACUCGGUGUGGACUGCUCCGGAUAACGGAGAGGAAGGUGGGGAUGACGUCAAGUCCGCAUGGCCUUUAUGUCCAGGGCUACACACGUGUUACAAUGCAGGGUACAAACCGUUGCCAACCCGCGAGGGGGAGCUAAUCGGAAAAAACUCUGCUCAGUUCGGAUUGCAGUCUGCAACUCGACUGCAUGAAGCCGGAAUCGCUAGUAAUGGCGUAUCAGAUCGACGCCGUGAAUACGUUCCCGGGCCUUGUACACACCGCCCGUCACAUCACGAAAGUGAGCUGUACUAGAAGUCGCCGCGCGAACCGCAAGGACGCAAGCGCCCAAGGUAUGACUCAUGAUUGGGGUGAAGUCGUAACAAGGUAGGCGUAGUGCU